rnacentral:rRNA from 1 species
GAUGAACGCUGGCGGCGUGCCUAAUACAUGCAAGUCGAGCGAACGGACGAGAAGCUUGCUUCUCUGAUGUUAGCGGCGGACGGGUGAGUAACACGUGGAUAACCUACCUAUAAGACUGGGAUAACUUCGGGAAACCGGAGCUAAUACCGGGUAAUAUUUUGAACCGCAUGGUUCAAAAGUGAAAGACGGUCUUGCUGUCACUUAUAGAUGGAUCCGCGCUGCAUUAGCUAGUUGGUAAGGUAACGGCUUACCAAGGCAACGAUGCAUAGCCGACCUGAGAGGGUGAUCGGCGACACUGGAACUGAUACACGGUCCAGACUCCUCCGGGAGGCGGCAGUAGGGAAUAUUACUGCAUGGUCGGAGGCCUCACGGAGCAGCGCCGCGUGAGUGAUGAAGGUCUUCGGAUCGUAAAAAUCUGUUAUUAGGGAAGAACAUAUGUGUAAGUAAUUGUGCACAUCUUGACGGUACCUAAUCAGAAAGCCACGGCUAACUACGUG